GAUCAGAGACGGCUGUGUGAACUGGAACCAGUACUAUAACGUCUGUCGGCCCGGCAACGUCAACCCUCACAAAGGAGCGGUGAACUUUGACAACAUAGCCUACGCAUGGAUAGCAAUAUUCCAGGUGAUAACCCUGGAAGGCUGGGUGGACAUCAUGUACUACGUUAUGGAUGCUCACUCCUUCUACAACUUUAUAUAUUUUAUAUUCCUCAUCAUAGUGGGCUCUUUCUUCAUGAUCAACCUGUGCCUGGUAGUCAUAGCGACCCAGUUUGCGGAGACGAAGCAG